GGAAGCACGUGAACGCUCAACAGUGUCAGAUCCGGGAACGUCCUUCUUCGUGGGCGUAACUAGCUCCGCCCACACUCAUUUCAAUGUUGUAAGGCUUUAUAAAAAAUUAAAAAAAAAUCUGUUUUAAAUAGUGUACAAACAGAUUUAUGCUCAUGUUAGCCUGGUGGAAAUGUAACUGAUCUUUAAAGACGUGCUGUGAGCUUUAUCGGGUUUGUUGGUUGGAACCAAUGCGGAUGAUGUUACUGCUGAUUCUGUUGCUUCCCUGUGUUUGUAACAGCUAUUCAUACCGGUAUGAGUUUGAAUAUGGAAGAACAUUCAGGAUCUAUCUACAAGAAGAUGCUCACACUGUUGAGUUCAGACCCUCAGACGGCUCUGAUGAGCAGAUCCUGUGGUACCAUGACAACCCUUUGGAAACUAAGGUCAGCGGGUGGAGGGCGACAGACUACAGCCUCACAAAAAAUUUGACGCAGAAAGACAGCGGGCAGUACGUAGUGAGAGAUGCUCAUACGAAGAGGCUACACACCGACAAUAUCAAAGUUAUUGGCAACUGUUCCUUCGGAAAUCCGCUGUCAACUGCCAGUCUUCGUCAGAGGCGUCUGCUGAUCACUUUGAUGUUUCCUUGA
rnacentral:lncRNA from 1 species